CCUUGGGUGGUGGAAAUGGUUAACGUGCUUGGCUGCUAACCAAAAAGUUGGAGGUUCAAGUCCACCCAGAAGCA
rnacentral:tRNA from 1 species